rnacentral:rRNA from 1 species
ACGUUACCUACAGAAGAAGCACCGGCUAACUCCGUGCCAGCAGCCGCGGUAAUACGGAGGGUGCGAGCGUUAAUCGGAAUUACUGGGCGUAAAGCGCAUGCAGGCGGCCGUGUUAAGUCAGAUGUGAAAGACCCGGGGCGUUAACCUCGGAAUUGCAUUUGUAAACUAGGCAGGCUAGAGUCUUGUAGAGGGGGGUAGGAAGUUUCAGGUGUAGCGGUGAAAUAGCGUAGAGAUCUGAAGGAAUACCAGUGGCGAAGGCGGCCCCCUCGGACAAAGACUGACGCUCAGAUGCGAAAGCGUGGGGAGCAAACAGGAUUAGAUACCCUGGUAG